rnacentral:rRNA from 1 species
UACGUAGGGGGCAAGCGUUGUCCGGAAUCAUUGGGCGUAAAGCGCGUGUAGGCGGUUCAGUAAGUCUGCUGUGAAAGUCCAGGGCUCAACCCUGGGAUGCCGGUGGAUACUGCUGGGCUAGAGUACGGAAGAGGCGAGUGGAAUUCCUGGUGUAGCGGUGAAAUGCGCAGAUAUCAGGAGGAACACCGAUGGCGAAGGCAGCUCGCUGGGACGGUACUGACGCUGAGGCGCGAAAGCGUGGGGAGCAAACAGG